rnacentral:lncRNA from 1 species
GAGCUAACUUUCUGUUUCGUGUGCUCUCUUUCUCUUCCACCAUGUUAUGAUGGAUCAGGAAGUCCCUUGCCAGAUGCCAGCACCAUGCUCUUGGACUUCUGGUCUCCAGAACCGUGAGAGAGACAAAAUUUUCUUUAUAAAUUUUUUAGUCUCUGACUCUAUUGUAGUGACAGAAAACUGACUGAGUUACUCUUGCUUACUUUAUCAUCUCAACACCAAAUACUGCAUCAAUGAAUUUCCCCGACUCUCUGAUAGUAGAUCAGGAUAUGAUAUUGAGAUUGGAGGCAGA